rnacentral:rRNA from 1 species
AACCUCCAGUAGUCAUAUGCUUGUCUCAAAGAUUAAGCCAUGCAAGUCUUGGUAUAAGCUUUUAUACGGUGAAACUGCGAAUGGCUCAUUAAAUCAGUUACAGUUUAUUUGAUGGUGGAAGCUACAUGGACAACCGUGGUAAUUCUAUGGCUAAGACAUGGGAAAGGGCCCGACUCUUGGAGGGCUGUGUUUAUUAGAUACAAAGCUGACAUUGUUGGUGAGUCAUGAUAAAAGCGUACGGACCGCACGGUCGCAAGACGGGCGGUGGAUCAUUCAAGUUUCUGCCCUAUCAACUUUCGACGGUUGUGUAUUGGACAACCGUGGUGACCACGGGUAACGGGGAAUCAGGGUUCUAUUCCGGAGAGGGGGCCUGAGAGAUGGCCACCACUUCCAAGGAAGGCAGCAGGCGCGCAAAUUACCCAAUCCUGACGCAGGGAGGUAGUGACAAAACAUACUAAUGCGGGGCCUUUGGCCCGGCAAUGGAAUGAA